rnacentral:rRNA from 1 species
GAUGAACACUGGCGGCGUGCCUAACACAUGCAAGUCGAGCGAUUCUCUUCGGAGAAGAGCGGCGGACGGGUGAGUAACGCGUGGGUAACCUACCCUGUACACACGGAUAACAUACCGAAAGGUAUGCUAAUACGGGAUAAUAUAUAGAAAUCGCAUGAUUUUUAUGUCAAAGAUUUAUUGGUACAGGAUGGACCCGCGUCUGAUUAGCUUGUUGGCGGGGUAACGGCCCACCAAGGCGACGAUCAGUAGCCGACCUGAGAGGGUGAUCGGCCACAUUGGAACUGAGACACGGUCCAAACUCCUACGGGAGGCAGCAGUGGGGAAUAUUGCACAAUGGGCGCAAGCCUGAUGCAGCAACGCCGCGUGAGCGAUGAAGGCCUUCGGGUCGUAAAGCUCUGUCCUCAAGGAAGAUAAUGACGGUACUGAGAGAGCCC